rnacentral:lncRNA from 1 species
GUGCCAUUCUGUGGUGUGCUCUCCUUGGAGGAUGCCCACAGGUUGCUCUCAGGAUUGGGAAUCUGCUCCCCACGUCUUCAUUAGUGCAGGGGAUGUAUUGAAUGAACUCUGAGGAGGGGGAUUUUCAUGCCUAUUCAGAAGGUGGGACUCAGGAGAGAGAUGGGAAUUUUCCUGAUCUGCUGCUGAGCCAGAGAAAUAGCUCCCAGGUGGAUUGUCCCAGAGGCCUCACACCACUGAAAAACUACCCAGCAAAGGUAAGAGGGCCUGGUUCCCCCACCAGGUGGAAUCUCAGGCAAUUUCAGAGUACUUUGCCCCUGCCCAGGCUCCUACCCUGGCUCUAUCCGACACACAUG